UCGAGAAUCUUUCGCAAUGGGCGAAAGCCUGACGAAGCGACGCCGUGUGAGCGAAGAAGGCCUUCGGGUUGUAAAGCUCUUUCGCCUGGGAACAAGAGACCUAACCUAAUAAGUUGGGAAUUUGAGGGUACUAGGUAAAGAAGCACCGGCUAACUCCGUGCCAGCAGCUGCGGUAAUACGGAGGGUGCAAGCAUUAAUCGGAUUUAUUGGGCGUAAAGAGGGCGUAGGCGGAGAUGUAAGUCAGAUGUGAAAGCCCGGGGCUCAACCCCGGAACGGCAUUUGAAACUACACCUCUAGAGGAUAGGCGGAGAAAACGGAAUUCCACAAGUAGCGGUGAAAUGCGUAGAUAUGUGGAAGAACACCGGUGGCGAAGGCGGUUUUCUAGCUUAUUCCUGACGCUGAGGCCCGAAAGCAAGGGGAGCAAACA
rnacentral:rRNA from 1 species